rnacentral:rRNA from 1 species
GACGAACGCUGGCGGCGUGCUUAACACAUGCAAGUCGAACGGUGAAGGGAUCAGCUUGCUGAUUCUGGAUGAGUGGCGAACGGGUGAGUAACACGUGAGUAACCUGCCCCCUUCUUCUGGAUAACCGCAUGAAAGUGUGGCUAAUACGGGAUAUUCUGCGCCUGCUGCAUGGUGGGUGUGGGAAAGAUAUUGUUUCGGUGGGGGAUGGGCUCGCGGCCUAUCAGCUUGUUGGUGGGGUGAUGGCCUACCAAGGCGGUGACGGGUAGCCGGCCUGAGAGGGUGGACGGUCACACUGGGACUGAGACACGGCCCAGACUCCUACGGGAGGCAGCAGUGGGGAAUAUUGCACAAUGGGCGCAAGCCUGAUGCAGCGACGCCGCGUGAGGGAUGGAGGCCUUCGGGUUGUGAACCUCUUUCGCCAGUGAAGCAGGCCUGUCCCUUGUGGGUGGGUUGACGGUAGCUGGAUAAGAAGCGCCGGCUAACUACGUG